GCCUUGUUGGCUCAGUCAGUUAAGCAUCUGACUUCGGCUCAGGUCACGAUCUCAUGGUUUGUGAGUUUGAGCCUCGCAUCGGGCU
rnacentral:tRNA from 1 species